rnacentral:rRNA from 1 species
UACGAAGGGGGCUAGCGUUGUUCGGAAUUACUGGGCGUAAAGCGCACGUAGGCGGAUCGAUCAGUCAGGGGUGAAAUCCCAGGGCUCAACCCUGGAACUGCCUUUGAUACUGUCGAUCUGGAGUAUGGAAGAGGUGAGUGGAAUUCCGAGUGUAGAGGUGAAAUUCGUAGAUAUUCGGAGGAACACCAGUGGCGAAGGCGGCUCACAGGUCCAUUACUGACGCUGAGGUGCGAAAGCGUGGGGAGCAAACAGG